AGUUUGAUCAUCUCUCUCGUGUGUUUGCAGAUUGAGAUCAGCCGGAGAGUGACCCUAGAGGAGCUCCCUCCUGUGCUGGUGCUCCACCUCAAGAGAUUUGUGUUUGAGAAGACUGGAGGCUGUCAGAAACUGAUCAAGAACAUUGAUUACCCUGUAGACCUAGAGAUCAGCAAAGAUCUCCUCUCUUCAGGGGUGCGGAGCAAAAUAUUCAAAGGCCAAAGAACCUACAGGCUCUUUGCAGUUGUCUAUCACCAUGGGAACAGCGCUACAGGCGGCCAUUACACCACGGAUGUCUUCCACAUCGGUCUGAACGGCUGGCUGCGCAUUGACGACCAGGCAGUGAAGGUCAUCAACCAGUACCAGGUGGUGAAGCAGACUGCUGAGCGCACUGCCUACCUGCUGUACUACCGUCGCGUCGACCUGCUGUAGACGCCACACACAUAUACAUGCACACUCACACAGCGGAACACUUAUUCAACUACAUAUGCACACUCCCACUACAGACACUCAAGUGCACAUACACAUGCAUACAUACAAACGCAUACAAACACACAAACUAAUGAACAGGAACACUGCCCAACUUCUUCUCUUGCAAGAUUUUCCUCUUCCUCCCCCUCGUCCCAGCUUUUCCAGAGAACCAGCUUUUCCAACAAUGCCUUUUUUCCUUUUAUCUUUUUUGGAAGAAUUAGAGGAAAAAAGGACGCGUUCUAAAAUAAUUUCCCUGUGAUGGCUUCCUCUUCUCUGUGCGCCACUGCUGUUUUUUUUUAAAUGCUGAGAGGAGAGACUGUUGAAUGGACUGAGGGGAGGGGACCUUGAGACUCGCCUCUGAACCUACAGCCUCGUUCAGACUGGGAACAGUGAGUACUUUACCCACAGGACGAACUAUCUAUCUACAACACGAGGCUGCAGAUGGACUGUUGGACUGCUGGAGAGAAGUUGUAUUUUUUUUUGUUUAUCUACUGUUUUUUUUUCAUUUUGGGGGGAAAAUGGCAUAGAAUAAUCAGUGUUUUGCCUUUUAGCAAGGGGAGUUGUUGUCCUAAUGAAUUUGCAGCAGUUUAAACGCCUGUUGAAAUUUUGCCAGAGUGCAUCAAAAAAGGCCCAGCACCAGCAAACGACAAAACGUUAUCGGAUGAGUCUCUAUAACUCCAGAGGCAAGAUGCUCUUCAUGGCCACCAUCUCUUCUUCCUUCUCCACCUUCCUCACUUUCCUGAUGCUUUUAAAUCUAGGUAAAACUUGAGCCAUCAAAAAAAUUAGAAAAAAUGACAGGAGAAGAGGUGCUGCUACAAUGUGCUGAAACUAAACAGCUUUGUUUGAGAGAACCUUGUGGUUUCUGGGUGUAGAAUUAGAAUGACUAUCUAAAAACAAUUUUAAUGCGCUUUAGGAUUUAAAUGAUUAAAAAAAUAAGCUUCUGUGCACGUAAAAUAUAAAUGAUCAAUAAAAAGAUGUGGACGUGCAAAUGCACACUUGCAGAUAUUUUAAGAUUUAAAACUGUUGAAAAAAUAAAUAAAAAAUAGAAAUCUAAAUCUAGGUGAGUGUCACCUUGUUUGGCUCCCUGGGUGGUUGUUAGUUCUAAGGCUUUCUGAGUACUCUGGAGCACUGGAGAGAUACCAAUGAAGACUGAGAUUCCACCGCAAGCACCAGCCCUUGUUUAUUUUAUACCUAUCCUUUCUCCCCUCCAUCCUUCAUUUAUCCUUUUUCCCCUGUUCUGGUCUAAAGGUUCCAUCUGUGUAUAGGCGGCCUGCCUUUGUAGUUACAAGAGCCACAUUACCCUUACCCCUCAACUCAUCAGAAAAAGGGGGCUGCCUUAGGUUCGCUAUGCGAGGCUUUCUAAUCCAAAUCUCCACUCAAUGUACAAGUCCAACCCAGUGAGUGUGACAACUGUAAGUCAAAUGUCUGUAAAGUGUUACGGGAAUGUACCUGACCUUUGCAUUUCCUCUUUGUGGCUGAGUGCAGUUCCUCUCCAGUGAGAGAGACUGUCCAUGUUGGGGGGUAAGUGGGAACACAUCUGCUGCUUGGCUCUAGAAAUGAAAUCCCCCACAAUAAAUGCGCACAAAAGGAAAUCAUGUUUGUUUUUGUUUGAGACCUUGCUUUUUGCAUCAUUAUUAUUCAUUGAUUGUGUUUUGCGUUUCGGUUAAAUGCUAUUGUUAUUUUUCAUUUGUUCAAUAAUACCAUGACCGUUUCCCAGAAUUAUACUAUAUGGCAUUUAAAUUGAUAUUUGAGCGAAAUUACCCAAGGUAAAGCACAACAAUGAAUAAAAUUGGACAAGUUCUUUGCUUGAUCAUAUUUUCUUUUGUCAUUUUCUUUUUUGCCUGAACUAAGUUUGAUCCAUAGUCUAAUCUUAAAGGAUAUUUUAACCAAACCAAUUUCAGAAUCUGUCAGUAUUUAAUCCUUUACAAAAAUAACAUAACUGGUACAUUACUUUGCUGAAGGCUUGGUGCAUUGUGGUUUACCCUUGUAUACUCUAUGUCCUUAAUGGGCAAAGCAGACUAUUUUCUAAAGAGCUUUCACAUACAGUAUACACUUUCUCACAUACACACACUACUUGCACACACACUUGGCCAUUAGAUAACACGAGGUACACAACUGGGAAUGGGUCCUUUUGUAAGUCGGCUCUCACACUUUCCCAUUUCUGACCACUGGACGUUGGGGCAGUGUGAAAUCAUUUUUCCCACUUCGGAAUAGCAGCGCAUGCAUUUUAGAUCCAACAGGAAGAGCUUAUUUUAUCCCAUUUCUCACUUUGUAGUUCACUCACUGAUGGUAGCAGAGACCUAUUAAAUAUACGUCUAUCCCCUUUUAUUUAAAGUGACUUGAAACUGAGUCAUGGAAAGAGUUAUCUGACCAUGUGCAUUUUCUGUGUUGAAUUCUUUGCGUUUGGAGCAGUGUCAUUUAUAUUGCCAACACAAUUCCCUUCCAUGAAUUAGCGUUGUAUAUUUUGCCCUGAAAAUGUGUAUUGUGUUAAAGUGACUGCAAUUUCAUAGUCUAAACUGUGCAGAAUUUGGUUCCCUCAAGUCAUUUGCUUAUUACUUAUGGGUAUGUAAAGUCAAAAAAUGUCCCCAAGUGAAACCAAAGGAUACGUCACAUUGACCCUGUUGCCUUUCGUAAUUGCGCUAAUGCUUCUAUGUCUAACUUUGGUUUCACCUCUGCACCAUAAGUUCUGUUGCCACAGCUCAUGAUUCAUUCAAUCAGCAUGACUCAGUCAUUCCAUAUAAGGAAAUUGAGCUGAUCCGUUCAGAUCAUUAUAAAACUCCUUAUAAGUGUUAGUUCAAUUGUGCUGAUGACUAUGUGGUCAUAUCUAAUACACUCAUUGUGACAAUGUUGGUUUGAUUUGUUUUUCUUUCCCCCCUGAAUAAUGUUUUGAAGAAGAUGGUUUGAAACGGACACUAAAGCUUAUCUGAAAGCUUUCUGUUGUACACGUUUUAUCCCUGAGUCUUUUUUUAUGACUAUGGUCAGGAUAUAUGCUGGCGAAUCGCUUCAAUGAUGUCGUUCUGUUUAGUUUGUGCUUCCUAACACGGUUGUCUGCUGAGGGCUUGUGUUGGGAUAUCAAGCUGAAACAAACUAUAUGCUGUCUUUUCAUCUUAAUCCUCCAGCAUUCUACUCUUUUUGUUUAUUGUUCAAAUAAAAGAUUGUGGAAAACCGAA